AGCAGCCGCGGUAAUUCCAGCUCCAAUAGCGUAUAUUAAAGUUGUUGCAGUUAAAAAGCUCGUAGUUGAAUUUCGGGAUCAAUAUAUCGGUCAUGCUUAGAUAUGUACUGGUAUUAUUGAUUUCUCCCUUCUGAAGAACCAUGAUGUCAUUAAUUUGGUGUCGUGGGGAAUCAGGACUGUUACUUUAGAAAAAAUUAGAGUGUUUAAAGCAGGCAUACGCUUGAAUACAUUAGCAUGGAAUAAUGAAAUAGGACGUUUGAUUCUAUUUUGUUGGUUUCUAGGAUCGACGUAAUGAUUAAUAGGGAUAGUUGGGGGCAUUAGUAUUCAAUUGUCAGAGGUGAAAUUCUUGGAUUUA
rnacentral:rRNA from 1 species